CACCGCGGUCACACAAGAGACCCAAAUUAACCGUAUACGGCGUAAAGAGUGGCACUAUACUAUCAAAACAGCUAGGAUGAAAGUACAGUUGAGCUGUCAUAAGCCUAAGCUGUACCUAACUUUUUCCCAGAUCCUAACACCAAUGAUUGACCACACCCCACGAAAGCUAAGACA
rnacentral:rRNA from 1 species